rnacentral:rRNA from 1 species
UACGUAGGGGGCAAGCGUUAUCCGGAUUUACUGGGUGUAAAGGGAGCGCAGACGGCUGUGCAAGUCUGGAGUGAAAGGCGGGGGCUCAACCCCCGGACUGCUCUGGAAACUGUAAAGCUGGAGUGCAGGAGAGGUAAGCGGAAUUCCUAGUGUAGCGGUGAAAUGCGUAGAUAUUAGGAGGAACACCAGUGGCGAAGGCGGCUUACUGGACUGCAACUGACGUUGAGGCUCGAAAGCGUGGGGAGCAAACAGG